GACGGACGCUGGCGGCGUGCUUAACACAUGCAAGUCGAACGGAAAGGCCCUGCUUUUGUGGGUUGCUCGAGUGGCGAACGGGUGAGUAACACGUGAGUAACCUGCCCUUGACUUUGGGAUAACUUCAGGAAACUGGGGCUAAUACCGGAUAGGAGCUCCUGCUGCAUGGUGGGGGUUGGAAAGUUUCGGCGGUUGGGGAUGGACUCGCGGCUUAUCAGCUUGUUGGUGGGGUAGUGGCUUACCAAGGCUUUGACGGGUAGCCGGCCUGAGAGGGUGACCGGCCACAUUGGGACUGAGAUACGGCCCAGACUCCUACGGGAGGCAGCAGUGGGGAAUAUUGCGCAAUGGGCGGAAGCCUGAUGCAGCAACGCCGCGUGCGGGAUGACGGCCUUCGGGUUGUAAACCGCUUUCGCCUGUGACGAAGCGUGAGUGACGGUAAUGGGUAAAGAAGCACCGGCUAACUACGUG
rnacentral:rRNA from 1 species